UAAUUUUUAUUGUAAAUUAAAAGAAAACAUAAGAGGUGAUUCUCAUUGAUACUCAAAGAUUGAAGACAAAGAAAACAUAAGAGGUGAUUCUCAUGGAUACUCACAGAUUGCAGACAUCUCUAAUUUUUAUUUGAAGCAUUUUUUUGGAUGUGGAUUGUGUUAAAGAUUUCAAUCAGGUUCCAAUCACUCAGAUCAUUUACUGCUAGGUAUUAAAUCUCAAUUGCUACUGCUAUUGAUUGGACUGUACGCCUACUAUCAUUGUCGCCAUGUUACCUAUGCUGUUCAUAUUUUUUUUCGAGGGUCGUCAUACAAACUAAGGAGGGUAUCAAAUGCUGCUGAUUCAUUGCCGCCUCAAUUCCUAAGCUACCAUCUCAUUUCUAAUUGCCGAGUUUGUCAUAAAUUUGGGAAAGCCACAAUUGCAACAUUAUUAGGGUUGUCAUAACAAAUUGGGUGCCAUUCGUGGUUCUACAGCAGUCACGUGUUGUUUGGGAACUUGUCACAGCCUUUGUAAUCCUGAGCAUAAAUUAUACCUGCUAUACAAUUGGCUUCUCAACUCCCUUUGGUGAACCUCCCCCUCCUACAUAUGAAGAUAGGCAAAAACUACUUCAUAAAGAUUAUGAGGUUGUGGUGGAGCUCCAAGAAAUUUAGAGAGGAGGUCAAGACAGUGGAUUCAAAAGCAAUUGGAACAUCAUAUGCAUCUUUGUUCACUCAACAGUCAAAGGUGACUAAUGAUUGCUUUUUUUCUUACCUGGAGGGAAGUGAUUAUUUUAGGGUCUUUGUUGUAUUGCUAUAUGGCAGUUUUGUGCAUAUAUUUUUGUAUUGUAUAGAUUUAUGACAUCAUAAGCCUAUAUGGCUUUUUUGUACAUAUAUUAUACU